CAAGAAAUCGCAUUUCAGCUAUUGGAUCAUAACCAGAUUUUAAAGUAGAGCCUCAAAAUGCAAAGAGAGAAAACAGGAGGAAGGGACAAAAAAGAGAGUAGUGAAAUGAUCAAAAACUGCAUUUAAACUCCAAUAUACUGUUCAUCAGCUGAUCAAAAAUUUUAAGCAAAAAAACAACUGAAAUGAAAAAGAAGACUCUAGUGAGAAACUGAUUUCUGUUUUUGGAAAUCUCCCUUGCCAUCAGUCCUGAAACAUUUUCAAUGAGAUUUAAAGCAGGAGAAUUUGCAGGAUGGUCCAAAAGAGUGACUGCCGGAUGAAGUCCUUUGACUGAAGGGCGUUUCGAACUGCAGCAAUCUGUUGAAAGAUUCAUUCAUCACCAAACAGACAAGGCCCAUCUACAGCAACAUCUCCACACAGCCAGCCACGGUUCGACACCCCUGCACAACCUAUAGCCUCAUUGUUCCAUUGAAGCUACAGGGAUGACUUGCUCAGGGCAGCAGGUGUCGCUGUUGAUCACACUUCAUAUGUCAGUCUGCCCGUGAGGUAGGUGGGCGGGGGUGCAGAGAAGAGCGCUGAUUGGUCGCGCCCCCAGCAGUCCAUAUUUCCCAGUGUGUGAUUGGAUGAAGGUCCUAUUAAUGGUGAUGCAUGUGCGCAGUAACAAGGAAACAAAAGAAGCCCUGAAGCUUUACUUGGAGGUAUUCUGCACCAUCCUGCGUCCCUGGGAACAUUUGCUUGCUUCUUUUGGCAUAAUUUUAACUGUGUUUAUUAAAAUGGAAUCAAAUUUGACAAUCUUAAAGUGA